UACGUAGGGUGCGAGCGUUAAUCGGAAUUACUGGGCGGAAAGCGUGCGCAGGCGGUUCGCCAAGUCAGGUGUGAAAUCCCCGGGCUUAACCUGGGAAUUGCGCUUGAAACUAGCGGGCUUGAGUGUGGCAGAGGGGGGUGGAAUUCCACGUGUAGCAGUGAAAUGCGUAGAGAUGUGGAGGAACACCGAUGGCGAAGGCAGCCCCCUGGGUCAACGCUGACGCUCAUGCACGAAAGCGUGGGGAGCAAACAGG
rnacentral:rRNA from 1 species